AUGAACGCUGGCGGCGUGCCUAAUACAUGCAAGUCGAGCGAACGGACGAGAAGCUUGCUUCUCUGAUGUUAGCGGCGGACGGGUGAGUAACACGUGGAUAACCUGCCUAUAAGACUGGGAUAACUUCGGGAAACCGGAGCUAAUACCGGAUGAUAUUUUGAACCGCAUGGUUCAAAAGUGAAAGACGGUCUUGCUGUCACUUAUAGAUGGAUCCGCGCUGCAUUAGCUAGUUGGUAAGGUAACGGCUUACCAAGGCAACGAUGCAUAGCCGACCUGAGAGGGUGAUCGGCCACACUGGAACUGAGACACGGUCCAGACUCCUACGGGAGGCAGCAGUAGGGAAUCUUCCGCAAUGGGCGAAAGCCUGACGGAGCAACGCCGCGUGAGUGAUGAAGGUCUUCGGAUCGUAAAACUCUGUUAUUAGGGAAGAACAUAUGUGUAAGUAACUGUGCACAUCUUGACGGUACCUAAUCAGAAAGCCACGGCUAACUACGUG
rnacentral:rRNA from 1 species